GACAGAGGUGCCGAGCGUUAGGCGGAAUCACUGGGCUUAAAGCGUGUGUAGGCGGACCCGUCAGUGUCUUGUGAAAUCCCACCGCUCAACGGUGGAACGGCUGGGCAUACUGCGGGUCUUGAGGGACCCAGGGGCGAGCGGAACAAGCGGUGGAGCGGUGAAAUGCGUAGAUAUCGCUUGGAACGCCAAAGGUGAAAACAGGUUGCUGGGGUUGUGCCGACGCUGAGACACGAAAGCCAGGGGAGCAAACGGG
rnacentral:rRNA from 1 species